rnacentral:sRNA from 1 species
CCAAGGUGAACAGCCUCUGGUC